rnacentral:lncRNA from 1 species
UCUAUGUUGCCAUUAUCAAAUAACUUAGAUAGUGGGCAAUUUAUAAAGGAAAAUAAACCCAAUUUAUUCCUUACAGUUCUUGAUUCUUGGAAGUUCAAGAUUGAGGGGGUCUGCGUCUAGAGAGAGGACCUUCGCCCAGGAUUAUCCCAUGCAGAAGGGCAGAAGGGCACAGGGCCUUGCCUUUCCCUCAGCAACAAUCCAGUCACUUCAUCUAGCCUUGGAUGCACAGCAUAAGCAUUGGGGGCUGCAGUUUCACUCUGCCCAGGAAGGGUCUUUUGAAAAUGCCAAGGGACACUCCUGGGUGAUGACAAUGUGCUAUU